AAUUUGACUGGUGUGGUAGUUGUGCUAUUAUCCUACUUUCACUCUAGAUGGCGAAAUGAUUGAACAGUUGUGUCCACCGAACGAUGCCAUAAUACCUGGUCGACCUUUUAAAUUAAGAGCAAGUUGUCGAUAGUUUCGUAAUGGUGGCUAAUGGUGUUGACGACAGGUGUGAUGACGAAGCAGUGACAUGUUUGAGAAGGCUAGCGUUCGAAGCAAAGUGACGAUGGAAUAAUCUUCGUCUGAUUUAUCGUGUUGGUAGGACGUGCAGCGAUAAAAACGUUGACUGAAAAUUCGAUCCUCCAGUGGUUCGCUGUUCUCAAUACGAUCGCUUUCUAUAUAUCGCGCGACGAGUCGCAAUCGAAAUCGAAAUCGAAGAUCACGCCGUCCCGUAUAACCGAGAUUAUCUACGAGUGUUCGGGUAGAAUGGCCAAGGAAGCAAUUUAGCUGUCCUUUUGAAAGCCGGAUCGUGGAAAACGAACUUCCAACACGAUUAACGAUAAUUUGUGAUCGACAGUGGAGUUGCCGAGAUUUUGCGACGACGUAGCAGCGCAUGAUGUAGCACAGAUUACAUAAUCAUAAGAUACGUAAGUGAAGAAUUAUGCGAAGAUCUCGAUUGUUUCGACGUACCACUUUUAGGCGCUGUCUUAUCCGCACUUUGCAUCGAAACAUACAUCGCCGAUGAUCGUAAGCAGUUUAUACGCUAAAGAGUUUUUGACUCGUCGAUUUAAUUAAAUUGAAAAAGAAUUUAACCCUUUGCACUCGAGGGGCGAUUCUCAGUCGCCACGUCGUAACCGUGUGGCAAAUCGAGAGGAGAAUGAGAGGCGACAGUCCCUGUUUAUGAGAGCGCAGUAUUGGUUCAUAAAUAGAUUCCUUAGCUCUUUAUAUUGUUUGUUAUGAAGUGUGAAGCGUUACAGUUUAAGAUGCAGGUGAAAUAUUUAUGCUCAAAUUCUGACGAAACUAUUGUUCUGUAAACGUUAAUUCAGAUUCGACGACCGUGGUACAAGUAUUAUAGUUUCGUAAAUUUAAAAGCUCCAAAAAAUGGAUUUGGAAAUUUGUUUAAUUAAUUCAUAUAUCCUGUAAAAAAGCAAAAGAACGAAGGGCCAUUUAACCACCUGCGAGUUAUAAAACCUUUUUUUCCAAAAGUAUACCAGUUGAGAGGAGAAAUUCGAUUAAAUGGAAAGCUGUAUGUAAUUUUAACAGGAAGAAAGAAGGAUUGUAAGGUGUGUUCUUACCGAAACAAAGCAGGAGAAAGACACGAAAUAACUUAUUAUUGCGAUACUUGUACCGACAAGCAAAGAAUGCAUCUUGCCAGAUAUUUUACAAAUUAUCGUAAAAGUACAGAAAAAUAUUAAAAAGCGAUAUGUUCAAAGAUGUAAUAUUGUAGUAUGGUGGACGAAUGGCCUAAGAAAUAUCGGGUGAAUUAUAAACAAUAUUGCGGGAAGGCCUAAGUGCCCUUAAGCUAAAAAGGCCUGGCAGUUUUACCGAGGAGUCGAGUAGUGAGAAGUCGAGUUGAGUUAGUUGUGAGGAGUUGAGUAGUCGUGAGUUGAGAGUUGAGUUGCCGAGUUGUUAUGAGUUGUAAACUAUUAGUUGCGAGUUGUGAAUUAACUAUUUAGUUAUAGCACAUUAUUGUAUUUAGUUCAUGUUAAGUAACCAUCGUUUCCUGCCUAAUCCAUUGUAAAUAGAUCUAUCGAUCAAUAAACUUAUUAUAUAGGAUAAAUAAAAUAAAGAAUCCUAUAAUAUA
rnacentral:lncRNA from 1 species